UUGAGCAUGGUUAGUGGUUUAAGUGUUGGACUACAACUCUGGAGAUCAGGGUUUGAUUCCCUACUUGGCCAAG